ensembl:rRNA 5S_rRNA 5S ribosomal RNA
GUCUACGGCCAUACCAGCCUGAACGCGCCCGAUCUCGUCUGAUCUCGGAAGCUAAGCAGGGUCGGAAAAGAUUGUAAAAUGUCUUAUUGAUAAUUUUCACAUUGAUUACAUGUUGAAU